rnacentral:rRNA from 1 species
GAUGAACGCUGGCGGCGUGCCUAAUACAUGCAAGUCGAGCGAACAGACGAGGAGCUUGCUCCUCUGACGUUAGCGGCGGACGGGUGAGUAACACGUGGAUAACCUACCUAUAAGACUGGGAUAACUUCGGGAAACCGGAGCUAAUACCGGAUAAUAUAUUUAACCGCAUGGUUCAAUAGUGAAAGACGGUUUUGCUGUCACUUAUAGAUUGAUCCGCGCCGCAUUAGCUAGUUGGUAAGGUAACGGCUUACCAAGGCAACGAUUCGUAGCCGACCUGAGAGGGUGAUCGGCCACACUGGAACUGAGACACGGUCCAGACUCCUACGGGAGGCAGCAGUAGGGAAUCUUCCGCAAUGGGCGAAAGCCUGACGGAGCAACGCCGCGUGAGUGAUGAAGGUCUUCGGAUCGUAAAACUCUGUUAUUAGGGAAGAACAAAUGUGUAAGUAACUAUGCACGUCUUGACGGUACCUAAUCAGAAAGCCACGGCUAACUACGUG